rnacentral:lncRNA from 1 species
CAGCCCGUGCCCUCCUUCAUUGUCCUUGCGUUUCUCGCUGGUCGCUAACCAGCAUGCGAGUAAACAUUCUGUUUGUUUAUGAGUUUACUGUCUCUCCCCCAUGAGACCAGAACCUCGUCUGUCUUUUUCAAAGCUGUGUCCCCAGCAGCUGGAACCGGGGCUGCUCAGUAAAUACAGUGCAGGUUGGGCGAAUAAACAGCUCAUUCCUGAUGCCUGUCACUACCGAUUCCACCAGCCCCUCACAGUGACCUGGAACACAGCUGAAGAUGGUGACAUCACGAGAUUGAAGGAGCCUGAAUCCCUGAGCCACCACUUGGAGGAGAUCCUGCCAGGAGAGAUGCCCCACCAGACGCUGAGCGCUCUCAUCUGGAAACGCUGAGUGAGAUGGUGGAUCGUGACCAGGAGAGCACUUGGCUGACCUCCCUCCUGGCCCCAGGGCCACUGGGUAGAGCCCCUCAUCUGAGAUCAACCCCACGCCUGUACACCCACAGCGGCCGGAGCAGACGCCAGGCACCGAGCGUGAUGGAUCCGGAGCAGACCUUACCCCGCCCUCCUGGAGCUCCGGCCAGAGCGUGGGAUCCUCAGAACGCCCUCCCCACUCACAGACUUCAUCUGGCCGAGCAGCAGCGAGGCUGGGAUCCCUGACCCCCCCUCCCCCUCCCCCACCCCCUGGAGCGGCUUAUGUGUCAGCCUGUAGCACACAGCACGCGGGGCUGACGCCCUGAAGCCUCCUUGGCUGCUUGGUAAUCAGAGAAGGAACCUGUGCGGAGGUGGGACUCUCAUUUUCACUUAAUUGGAAAGUCCGCCUCAUCAAAGAGAGCACGAUGCUCGGUGGCCCUUUCUUCCCUCGCCAGUGACCAUUAACCUUUAAAAGACACUUUCUGAGCCGUCUGCUGAGGCUCCUUCUCCUGCCAGGUGUAAUGAGGCUCACAAACGGCGAACAUGAGAAAUGCCACAAAUGAGAGGCCCCAGAGCAGGGCCCCGGGCCACCCAGCCAGGCGGGUGCCAGGAGAGGAAUGUCAGCAGCCUGGCGGCCGCCCAGCCCUCAGCCACGGGACUCCGGGACGGCCCGGGCUGAGCUCAUUCCAGAAGUGACUUCGACUGAGCCAGUGGUGGCAAAAAUAAACAAGUGAGAUCUUGUCAUUCCUCUGGCCAAAACCUCUGCUGCUCCCACCCGACUCAGAGCAGAAGCCAAGUCCCUCCAGUGGCUGGGGGCCUGCUG